GAUGAACGCUAGCGGCAGGCCUAACACAUGCGAGUCGAGGGGUAUGGCAGCAAUGCCAGAGACCGGCGCACGGGUGCGUAACGCGUAUGCAAUCUACCUUUUACAGGGGGAUAGCCCAGAGAAAUUUGGAUUAAUACCUCAUAGUAUAUUUUAGUGGCAUCACUAGAUUAUUAAAGUUCCAACGGUAAAAGAUGAGCAUGCGUCCUAUUAGCUGGAUGGUAAGGUAACGGCUUACCAUGGCUACGAUAGGUAGGGGUCCUGAGAGGGAGAUCCCCCACACUGGUACUGAGACACGGACCAGACUCCUACGGGAGGCAGCAGUGAGGAAUAUUGGACAAUGGGCGCAAGCUUGAUCCAGCCAUGCCGCGUGCAGGAAGACGGUCCUAUGGAUUGUAAACUGCUUUUGUACGGGAAGAAACACUCCUACGUGUAGGAGCUUGACGGUACCGUAAGAAUAAGGAUCGGCUAACUCCGUGCCAGCCGCCGCCGUAAAAC
rnacentral:rRNA from 1 species